rnacentral:lncRNA from 1 species
AUUAGAUUAUUUUAAUAAAUAAAAAAUGGCAAAAGUCAUAACAAAGAAGACUUCAAAAAGCCAAUUUGCACAGACUACAGCUGUAUCUACCUCUUGUGCUACACCUGGUAAGUUAAACAACUAUUAGUUUUUAAUGUGCAAACUUUAUAAUAUGUUUAACUUUAGUUCCUUA